rnacentral:rRNA from 1 species
UGGGGAAUAUUGCACAAUGGGCGCAAGCCUGAUGCAGCGACGCCGCGUGAGGGAUGACGGCCUUCGGGUUGUAAACCUCUUUCAAUAGGGACGAAGCGCAAGUGACGGUACCUAUAGAAGAAGGACCGGCCAACUACGUGCCAGCAGCCGCGGUAAUACGUAGGGUCCGAGCGUUGUCCGGAAUUACUGGGCGUAAAGAGCUCGUAGGUGGUUUGUCGCGUUGUCCGUGAAAACUCACAGCUUAACUGUGGGCGUGCGGGCGAUACGGGCAGACUGGAGUACUGCAGGGGAGACUGGAAUUCCUGGUGUAGCGGUGGAAUGCGCAGAUAUCAGGAGGAACACCGGUGGCGAAGGCGGGUCUCUGGGCAGUAACUGACGCUGAGGAGCGAAAGCGUGGGGAGCGAACA